UAUUCACUCCAGAUAGGGACCCCACAACAGCCAAAGGAAAGACCACCAAACACCAACUUAGUGAAGCAAUAGAUUUUAUUGAGGUCACUUACAGGAAUACAGGUGAGGGGUUGUUCCCAGGAGCAGAAAUGACUCAAAGACAGCUGCAUGACUAAGGGCCACCACCAAGGGUCUGAGUGACAGCUCACAAACCUGGGAACUUCGGUCACAAGGAACAGCCUCCAGGCAGCUCAUGAGUUUGCAGAAUGUCACUUCCAACUGACUCACUUGGUCUACAUCUCUGUCAGGAAGUUCAGCUGCUUUCUGCUUCUACAGGCAGUUGGCCUGGUCUCCGAGGCUUCUGUGCAGCCUGGCUAUCUGAGAGCAACUCUGAGCAGCCUUUAUUGUUUACUCUGGCAAGGAGAGGGCCUAGUGAGUCUGGCCAGUCUCAGGGACUUCCUAUGAUCUAAUUAAUGCCAAUGAGCAACAGUUUUCUCAGAGACUCUACCAUAGAACCCUGAAGAAUUUUCAUAAGUUCUUCAGAGGCUGGAAGAGCUCUCUCACAACUUUGUGUCUCACCUCUUACAGGCAGUGAGUCACUUUACUGUUGAUGGAGACACAGAAUCUUUCUUUACUUUACUCCAUGCUUUGAGGCUAUUCCCUUAACCUCUGGAUAUUAUGGUGAUUGUUUGUGGGACAGGUUCUCCAAAUACUUCCUGGUGCUUUUAUAAAAGGGACUGGGGCUAAAAACCUACUUCAUUUGUUUCAACAGGUUCGGCAACAGUUCCCAAAUUAGGAGGCACCAUAUUUUCUCCAAUACAUUCGAGUAUAUUCUGGUCUCCUUGGUCUUUUGGCAGAGA
rnacentral:lncRNA from 1 species